rnacentral:rRNA from 2 species
UCAAAUUUGAAAUCUGGCGCCUUCGGUGUCCGAGUUGUAAUUUGAAGAAGGUAACUUUGGUUUUGGCUCUUGUCUAUGUUCCUUGGAACAGGACGUCACAGAGGGUGAGAAUCCCGUGCGAUGAGAUGCCCAAUUCCAUGUAAAGUGCUUUCGAAGAGUCGAGUUGUUUGGGAAUGCAGCUCUAAGUGGGUGGUAAAUUCCAUCUAAAGCUAAAUAUUGGCGAGAGACCGAUAGCGAACAAGUACAGUGAUGGAAAGAUGAAAAGAACUUUGAAAAGAGAGUGAAAAAGUACGUGAAAUUGUUGAAAGGGAAGGGUUUGAGAUCAGACUUGGUAUUUUGUAUGUUUUACUCUCGGGUGAGGCCUCUGCAGUUUACUGGGCCAGCAUCAGUUUGGAUGGUAGGAUAAUGACAUUGGAAUGUGGCUCUUCGGAGUGUUAUAGCCCUUGUUGAUACUGCCUAUCUAGACUGAGGACUGC